CGGCGUAAAGAGUGGUUAUGGAACUAUUAUACUAAAGCCGAAAGCCCCCUAAGCUGUCAUACGCACCCAGAGGCCAGAACCCCGCCAUACGAAAGUAGCUUUACUACCGCCCACCAGAACCCACGACAGCUGGGAUACAAACUGGGAUUAGAUACCCCACUAUGCCCAGCCAUAAACCUAGAUGCUCUUAUACAACCAGCAUCCGCCAGGGAACUACGAGCACUAGCUUAAAACCCAAAGGACUUGGCGGUGCUUCAGACCCCCCUAGAGGAGCCUGUUCUAGAACCGAUAAUCCCCGUUCAACCUCACCACUCCUUGCCCCUUCCGCCUAUAUACCACCGUCGCCAGCUUACCCUGUGAAGGAAUAAAAGUAAGCAAAAUGGAACCCCCUCCAGAACGUCAGGUCGAGGUGUAGCAUACGAAGUGGGAAGAAAUGGGCUACAUUGCCUGACCCAGGCCAUUCACGGAAAGUCACCUGAAAUAGUCACUCAAAGGUGGAUUUAGCAGUAAAGGGGGAAUAGAAUACCCCUUUGAAGCCGGCUCUGAAGCGCGCACACACCGCCCGUCACUCUCCCCGACAACCACCCAUAAAGUAAAUAACACCACAAGACAAAAAAGGGGAGGCAAGUCGUAACAUGGUAAGU
rnacentral:rRNA from 1 species